UACGGGGGGGCAAGCGUUGUUCGGAAUUACUGGGCGUAAAGGGCUCGUAGGCGGCCAACUAAGUCAGACGUGAAAUCCCUCGGCUUAACUGGGGAACUGCGUCUGAUACUGGAUGGCUUGAGUUUGGGAGAGGGAUGCGGAAUUCCAGGUGUAGCGGUGAAAUGCGUAGAUAUCUGGAGGAACACCGGUGGCGAAGGCGGCAUCCUGGACCAACACUGACGCUGAGGAGCGAAAGCCAGGGGAGCAAACGGG
rnacentral:rRNA from 1 species